rnacentral:rRNA from 1 species
GACGAACGCUGGCGGCGUGCUUAACACAUGCAAGUCGAACGGAAAGGCCCUGCUUUUGUGGGGUGCUCGAGUGGCGAACGGGUGAGUAACACGUGAGUAACCUGCCCUUGACUUUGGGAUAAAUUCAGGAAACUGGGGCUAAUACCGGAUAGGAGCUCCUGCUGCAUGGUGGGGGUUGGAAAGAUUCGGCGGUUGGGGAUGGACUCGCGGCUUAUCAGCUUGUUGGUGGGGUAGUGGCUUACCAAGGCUUUGACGGGUAGCCGGCCUGAGAGGGUGACCGGCCACAUUGGGACUGAGAUACGGCCCAGACUCCUACGGGAGGCAGCAGUGGGGAAUAUUGCACAAUGGGCGGAAGCCUGAUGCAGCAACGCCGCGUGCGGGAUGACGGCCUUCGGGUUGUAAACCGCUUUCGCCUGUGACGAAGCGUGAGUGACGGUAAUGGGUAAAGAAGCACCGGCUAACUACGUG